GUUUUGAUCAAUAUAAUUCACAUUUACUGAUAAAAAUUUUUAAAAAAAAUUACAAUGUCCUUCGAGCAUUUGGAGGAGACUAAACUUUAUAUCAACAAAUUCAGUCUUUGGAAAAGACUUGUCGCAUUGGCAAAUAAGAAAUAUAACUAUUCUAAAGAAAAACUUGUAUAGAUGAAGCUUACACUCUUGCACAACUAUAAUAAUAUGAUUCGUGCAACACAGCAACAGUUGUUACCACAUUAACAACUUCCCUGCCAAAUCGAAAUUGAUCAACCCUCUUCCUUGUGUAGAGGUGGGAUGCACACCCUCCUGGGGAUCUUGGGUUUGAAUGCAAGUAGAAGGGUGCAUGAGAUUCAAUUUCAAUAAAAAUUAUUAGCAUAACUUUAAAUUCAAUUCUCGAUGAUAUGUUUUGGAGUCAAGUCUAGAUUCAUCAAAUUUCACAUGAUCUAGAAUUGAUAACUCACAGGAAAUUUCAUGCCAACUUAUGACAACGCAAAAGGUCGAACCUGCAUGGGCAAAAACAAUGACAACUUGUUUUAGA
rnacentral:lncRNA from 1 species